rnacentral:rRNA from 1 species
AACGAACGCUGGCGGCGUGGAUAAGACAUGCAAGUCGAACGGGAUUUUUUUCUGUAGCAAUACAGGAAAAAGUCUAGUGGCGAACGGGUGCGUAACACGUGAGCAACCUGCCGUGAAGUGGGGGAUAGCUCGCCGAAAGGCGAAUUAAUACCGCAUGUGGCCAAGGAAGACAUCUUCCUGACGCCAAAGCCGGGGCAACCUGGCGCUUCUCGAGGGGCUCGCGGCCUAUCAGCUUGUUGGUGAGGUAACGGCUCACCAAGGCUAUGACGGGUAGCUGGUCUGAGAGGACGACCAACCACACUGGAACUGAGACACGGUCCAGACACCUACGGGUGGCAGCAGUCGAGAAUUUUUCACAAUGGGGGAAACCCUGAUGGAGCGACGCCGCGUGGAGGAUGAAGGUUUUCGGAUUGUAAACUCCCGUCAUUAGAGAACAAGGCACACGGUUUAACUGGCCGUGUGUUGAUAGUAUCUGAAGAGGAAGAGACGGCUAACUCUGUGCCAGCCGCCGCGGUAA